CCUCCCUUCCUGGGCUGGUCCUUCUGUGCUAAGCUGGCCCGGGGCCAGGCUGCUCCCCGAGAGAUGUACAAGCCACUGGGGCUUGUGCUCAGUGACAUUCACAAAGAUUUAAAAAAAAAAAACUACCAGCUUUGUGGGGGACUGGGCUGACCUCCCACUUCCUGAAUUGAUCACGAUUUUCGCUUUCCAGACAUCCUCUUCCUGAAAUGGAUGAGUGUUCCACCCCACAGCAGCAAACAUUAGCAGGUGGCUGAUAUUCAAACUUAAGGCUGACAACUUCAAACUCUACACAAAUGGCAUGAUUCUCUUUUCUUUUAAAAUGGUGAUGAAUUUCUAUUUUGCAGUAUCGGGAGUACUGGGGGUAGAACCCAGAGACUUGAACACACUCAGUCAUCAAGCAGCACUUCAUUUAAAGACAAGAGUGAGUUGAAGCUGUUAUUUGUAACCUCAGCCAUGCCUCAGAACGAUGAGAAGAAUCAGAAGUGCUGACAGCUUGGGAUGCAAGCUAGUAUUGGAAGAGUUUAUAAAUGGUAACAUUGAACAUCCAGUGGCAGGGGUUGGAGAUUCAUCGGUGACUCUGAAGAAUCAUUUGGUCCAAUGGUUUUGUAGCUUCAUUGCCAGAUCUAAUAACCCCCUUUGAGGGCAGGACCCCAUCUCUACUCUGCAAACCUUUCCCCAGUCUAUGGUGUCAAUGAGCAUCAAGUUUUCAUUAAUAAAAAACAGAAGAAACCAUCAACUCUAUCAGAGGUUGCUGAAGAAAAGGUGACAUUCAGUGUAAGCAGCAUUGAGAAUCUGAACACUGGGCUAUUCCUGUCACCCUGGGGAGCCAGGCAACCUCCAGGAUUGUUAGAGCUUCUCAAUAAAGAGCAGAAAAAUCUAAUGGCAUCAGACAGUUGAG
rnacentral:lncRNA from 1 species